UACGAAGGGGGCUAGCGUUGUUCGGAAUCACUGGGCGUAAAGCGCACGUAGGCGGAUUUGUAAGUCAGGGGUGAAAUCCCGGGGCUCAACCUCGGAACUGCCUUUGCUACUGCAAGUCUCGAGUUCGGGAGAGGUGAGUGGAAUUCCUAGUGUAGAGGUGAAAUUCGUUGAUAUUAGGAAGAACACCAGUGGCGAAGGUGGCUCGCUGGCCCGAUACUGACGCUGAGGUGCGAAGGGAUGGGGAGCAAACAGG
rnacentral:rRNA from 1 species